rnacentral:rRNA from 1 species
UACGUAGGGUGCAAGCGUUAAUCGGAAUUACUGGGCGUAAAGCGCGCGUAGGCGGGUCGUUAAGUGGGAAGUGAAAGGCUGGGGCUCAACCCCAUGCAGUGCUUCUCAUACUGGCGGUCUUGAGUGAGGUAGGGAGAAGUGGAAUGGCUGGUGUAGCGGUGAAAUGCGUAGAUAUCAAGUGGAACACCAGUGGCGAAGGCGAGUCCCUGGACAUUUCCUGACACUGAGGCACGAAAGCUAGGGGAGCAAACAGG